UGGGGAAUUUUGGACAAUGGGGGAAACCCUGAUCCAGCCAUCCCGCGUGUGCGAUGAAGGCCUUCGGGUUGUAAAGCACUUUUGGCAGGAAAGAAACGUCAUGGGUUAAUACCCCGUGAAACUGACGGUACCUGCAGAAGAAGCCCCGGCUAACUACGUGCCAGCAGCCGCGGUAAUACGUAGGGGGCAAGCGUUGUCCGGAUUUAUUGGGCGUAAAGAGCGUGUAGGCGGUUGGGUAGGUCCGUUGUGAAAAUUCGAGGCUCAACCUCGAGACGCCGAUGGAAACCCCCCAGCUAGAGUCCGGAAGAGGAGAGUGGAAUUCCUGGUGUAGCGGUGAAAUGCGCAGAUAUCAGGAAGAACACCCGUGGCUAAGGCGGCUCUCUAGUACGGUACUGACGCUGAGACGCGAAAGCGUGGGGAGCGAAC
rnacentral:rRNA from 1 species